rnacentral:rRNA from 1 species
GUGCCAGCCGCCGCGGUAAUACGGAGGGUGCAAGCGUUAAUCGGAAUUACUGGGCGUAAAGCGUGCGUAGGCGGUUUAUUAAGUCAGAUGUGAAAGCCCCGGGCUUAACCUGGGAACUGCAUUUGAAACUGGUCAACUAGAGUAUGGUAGAGGAAAGUGGAAUUUCUGGUGUAGCGGUGAAAUGCGUAGAUAUCAGAAGGAACAUCAAUGGCGAAGGCAGCUUUCUGGACCAAUACUGACGCUGAGGUACGAAAGCGUGGGUAGCAAACAGGAUUAGAUACCCUGGUAGUCCACGCCGUAAACGAUGAUAACUAGCCGUUGGGGGGAUUUACCCCUUAGUGGCGAAGCUAACGCGUUAAGUUAUCCGCCUGGGGAGUACGGCCGCAAGGCUAAAACUCAAAGGAAUUGACGGGGACCCGCACAAGCGGUGGAGCAUGUGGUUUAAUUCGAUGCAACGCGAAGAACCUUACCUGGUCUUGACAUCCUGCGAACUUUCUAGAAAUAGAUUGGUGCCUUCGGGAACGCAGUGACAGGUGCUGCAUGGCUGUCGUCAGCUCGUGUCGUGAGAUGUUGGGUUAAGUCCCGUAACGAGCGCAACCCCUAUCCUUAUUUGCCAGCACAUUAUGGUGGGAACUAUAAGGAGACUGCCGGUGAUAAACCGGAGGAAGGCGGGGACGACGUCAAGUCAUCAUGGCCCUUACGACCAGGGCUACACACGUGCUACAAUGGGAAGGACAAAGAGCCGCGAAGCCGCGAGGUGUAGCUAAUCUCAUAAAUCUUUUCGUAGUCCGGAUUGGAGUCUGCAACUCGACUCCAUGAAGUCGGAAUCGCUAGUAAUCGUAGAUCAGAAUGCUACGGUGAAUACGUUCCCGGGUCUUGUACACACCGCCCGUC